rnacentral:rRNA from 1 species
GAAAGCGNGGGUAGCGAACAGGAUUAGAUACCNUGGUAGUCCACGCCGUAAACGAUGAGUGCUAGGUGUUAGGCCCUUUCCGGGGNUUAGUGCCGGAGCUAACGCAAUAAGCACUCCGCNUGGGGAGUACGACCGCAAGGUUGAAACUCAAAGGAAUUGACGGGGGCCCGCACAAGCGGUGGAGCAUGUGGUUUAAUUCGAAGCAACGCGAAGAACCUUACCAGGUCUUGACAUCCCGAUGCUAUUNUUAGAGAUAGGAAGUUACUUCGGUACAUCGGAGACAGGUGGUGCAUGGUUGUCGUCAGCUCGUGUCGUGAGAUGUUGGGUNNNNNNNNNNNNNCGAGCGCAACCCUUAUUGUUAGUUGCCAUCAUUAAGUUGGGCACUCUAGCGAGACUGCCGGUAAUAAACCGGAGGAAGGUGGGGAUGACGUCAAAUCAUCAUGCCCCUUAUGACCUGGGCUACACACGUGCUACAAUGGUCGGUACAACGAGUUGCGAGCCGGUGACGGCAAGCUAAUCUCUGAAAGCCGAUCUCAGUUCGGAUUGGAGGCUGCAACUCGCCUCCAUGAAGUCGGAAUCGCUAGUAAUCGCGGAUCAGCACGCCGCGGUGAAUACGUUCCCGGGCCU